GGUUCAGGAUGAACGCUAGCUACAGGCUUAACACAUGCAAGUCGAGGGGCAGCAUGGUCUUAGCUUGCUAAGACUGAUGGCGACCGGCGCACGGGUGAGUAACGCGUAUCCAACCUGGCCCUUAGUAGGGAACAGCCCGGCGAAAGUCGGAUUAAUGCCCUAUGUUUUCCAAUGAUGGCAUCUGACUUGGAACAAAGAUUCAUCGCUAAGGGAUGGGGAUGCGUCUGAUUAGCUUGUCGGCGGGUAACGGCCCACCGAGGCGACGAUCAGUAGGGGUUCUGAGAGGAAGGUCCCCCACAUUGGUACUGAGACACGGACCAAACUCCUACGGGAGGCAGCAGUGAGGAAUAUUGGUCAAUGGGCGUAAGCCUGAACCAGCCAAGUAGCGUGCAGGAAAGACUGCCCUAUGGGUUGUAAACUGCUUUUAUGCGGGAAUAAAGUCAGGUACGCGUACCUGUUUGUAUGUACCGCAUGAAUAAGGACCGGCUAAUUCCGUGCCAGCAGCUGC
rnacentral:rRNA from 1 species